GCUUAAAGGGGCCGUAGCUGGCCGGACAAAUCUCCGGGUAAAUCGGGCGGCCCAACCGUCCGAAUUCCGGAGACACUGUUCGGCUUGGGAUCGGGAGAGGGUGAAGGUACUCUCGGGGUAGGGGUAAAAUCCUGUAAUCCGGAGGGGACCACCAGUGGCGAAGGCGUUCACCUAGAACGAAUCCGACAGUGAGGGACGAAGCCCUAGGGCGCAAACGGGAUUAGAUACCCCGGUAGUCUAGGGUGUAAACUCUGCAGACUUGGUGUUGGGGGUCCUGCGUGGGCUCCCAGUGCCGGAGUGAAGAUGUUAAGUCUGCCGCUUGGGGAGUACGGUCGCAAGACUGAAACUUAAAGGAAUUGGCGGGAGAGCACCGCAACGGGAGGAGCGUGCGGUUCAAUUGGAUUCAACGCCGGAAAACUCACCGGGGGCGACGGAGGGUUGAAAGCCAGGCCGAAGACCUUGCCCGAUCCUCCGAGAGGUGGUGCAUGGCCAUCGUCAGUUCGUACCGUAAGGCGUUCUGUUAAGUCAGAUAACGAACGAGACCCUCGCCUUCAGUCGCUAUCUCAUGAGUGGUCGUGAGAGCACACUGAGGGGAUCGCUGCCGCUAAGGCAGAGGAAGGAGAGGUCUACGGUAGGUCCGCAUGCCCCUAA
rnacentral:rRNA from 1 species